UAGCUGGGGGAGCCGCAUGGCUGAGAGAUCAUCAGAUCGACCCUUGGAACUUGAACCGGUUAAUACCGGCGUAAGGAAGC
rnacentral:ncRNA from 1 species